GGCAACCGGGGUGGAGCUGCAAGAGCCUUUGGCCCCAUGGAGGGACUGCUGGCUGCCGGCUUCUUCACUUCAGCUCCUUCUGGAGAUGACCAAGUCUGUGGUGGUGCCUGAAGAUUUAAGCAAGGCCCAGGUGGACUUCAUUUCCCAGCCUCCUUUGUGGCUAGGUGUUGUCAUGUGACUGCGUUCUAGCCAGUGGACAAUGGUAGUAUGAAGCCCUGAGGGCUGAGACCACAUCUGCCUGGUUUUCUGUGGCAGCUGCAGCAUCAACACUGGCUCUUCGAAGAGUAGCAGCUGAUGAACAUUACUCCGGCAAACAAUUUUCUCUGCUAGGAACUGGAUAAAUGCAAAGGAAGGAGGGGAGAGUGUGUCAGACGGGGACCCUGCCCUACUGGAGCACACGCAUCACCACCUGGGUUAGGACGGCCUCACCCGUCCCCUGGACCUUCACCUUAUGUCCCAGAGAGGAGACAUCUGCUAGAGCAAAGAAAAUUCAUUGUCAUAUAAAACAAACAAGAAAACACACACACACAUGUGCACACACACAUACAGAAAGCAAAUAAAACAUUGUUAGAUGAUGUAAAUUGUCA
rnacentral:lncRNA from 1 species